rnacentral:rRNA from 1 species
UUCCGGUUGAUCCUGCCGGACCUGACUGCUAUCGGAUUGAUACUAAGCCAUGCGAGUCUUUGCAGUAAUGCAAGGCAUACGGCUCAGUAACACGUAGUCAACUUACCCUAUGGACGAGGAUAAUCUCGGGAAACUGAGCAUAAUACUCGAUAGAUCAUAAUGCCUGGAAUGGUUUAUGGUUGAAAUGAUUCGUCGCCAUAGGAUGGGACUGCGGCCUAUCAGCUUGUUGGUGAGGUAAUGGCCCACCAAGGCGAUUACAGGUACGGGCUCUGAGAGGAGAAGCCCGGAGAUGGGUACUGAGACAAGGACCCAGGCCCUAUGGGGCGCAGCAGGCGAGAAAACUUUGCAAUGUGCGAAAGCACGACAAGGUUAAUCCGAGUGAUUUCUGCUAAAGGAAUCUUUUGUUAGUUCUAAAAAUACUAGUGAAUAAGGGGUGGGCAAGUUCUGGUGUCAGCCGCCGCGGUAAAACCAGCACCUCAAGUGGUCAGGAGGAUUAUUGGGCCUAAAGCAUCCGUAGCCUGUUCUAUAAGUUUGCGGUUAAAUCUAUACGCUCAACGUAUAGGCUGCCGUAAAUACUGUAGAACUAGGGAGUGGGAGAGGUAGACGGUACUCGAUAGGAAGGGGUAAAAUCCUUUGAUCUAUUGAUGACCACCUGUGGCGAAGGCGGUCUACCAGAACACGUUCGACGGUGAGGGAUGAAGCUGGGGGAGCAAACCGGAUUAGAUACCCGGGUAGUCCCAGCUGUAAACGAUGCAGACUCGAUGAUGCAAUGGCAUAGAGCUAUUGCAGUAUCGCAGGGAAGCCGUUAAGUUUGCCGCCUGGGAAGUACGUACGCAAGUAUGAAACUUAAAGGAAUUGGCGGGGGAGCACCACAAGGGGUGAAGCCUGCGGUUCAAUUGGAUUCAACGCCGGG